CGCUUACAGAAAAGAAGAAGACAACAAAGCAGUUCGCCGUCUUCACAACUCCGAGACAAACUGUAGCAGGCGCUACGAACCGGAGCAAGGACUAACCUCGCCUCAUAACGAGGCCGUGACCUAUAUUUUCUCGGAGCUACGUCUGCAAGUCCAGAUUUACAUGACGCUGAUAAUGACGCCAUUCUGCCUGUAAGACAUAUCACCAGACAGCACGCAGGAGCUUCAGGUAGAAACAACCAGAUGUGGCAUCGCGGGCAGAAGCUGUGAAGAGUUCAGCUCGGAGUCGGUUGAGAAGAAAAGAGGCUGCUGGAAGCGAGACAGAGUGUGCUGGCUGCGGGUGAGGUGGACAUUUGGAAGUGCGGCACAUAGAAAUACAGGACAACCACAGACGUCUGCCACCACAGACGUCCGAGCAGCCAAAUGGUAGAUGUCCACCUCACCCGCAGCCAGCACGGCCAUUGAACUGCCAGAGAGGUGCAGCAUUAACAAAUAUAGGAAAUAAUAAAUGAAACUUCUGACAGUUAACUUGUAAUAACACAUAUAAUAGAGCUGUUUUUAAAUCUAAAGUAUGUUUUGAUUAUAACAGAGGAUGGCGUGUUAAGAGUAUAUACAGACUCCAGGGUGUUUAAACAUGUUUGUCCUGAAUUCAUUUAAAAACAAUGAGACCGUUGGCUGGUUGGUUUACUCCAACAUUCAUUCAGAUGACUAACUGCACUAAUUGGAACAAUAUACAAUACUUAAUAUAUUAUAAUACUAAAUCACAAUUACAGUAACGUUAUCUCCAAAUAAAAAUAUUUCUGUCGGCUGUUCUUCAGUGGAAAGUUUAUAUUCACUUUACCAACGGCGCCUUUAUACUCACAUAACACAUACACUAAAUGGGGGUAACUGUCAUUUUUACAAAUAUAUACUAAAGUAAAUAAUACAUUGUGUUUUAAAAUUAAAUUAAUAAGUGUUUAUUCAUUAAGUAUUAUAAAAUGAAUACAUAAAAUGUAAUCAAAUGUAAUUUAAAAA